GUUGAAUCAUUAACCCAGUGGUUGGACUAUUGACCUAUUAAACUAGUCCUUCUACAGGAUCAACAUUCGGACUAGGUUUAAUAACACUAAAAGUUAGCAUUGUUCACACUUCACAUGAUAUGCCACCAUUGACUUCAAUCUUAGAUUUAAUGCCAUGAGAUGCUUCAUACCUACAAUACAAAGCCCCACUUCUAUAAAUGAGGAGUAACAUUAUUGAGAUGUGACGGACCUUUUAUAUCCCCUGAGAAAUGAAAAGGCUAGGCAAAACUCUGCUAAAUUCCUUACAUGGAACAUUUGGCCUUCAUCCCACAAACUUAAUAGCCAUGAGGCUAUGAAUAAAAUAGUAUUUCCCAAUAUCAAAAUUCAAAAGGUUUCAACAUGUGAUGAAUAGGAAUGGUUAUCAAAUUAGGUUCUUAAGAUGAGGUAGUAGUUAUGGUAUUACAGCAACACAGAGGGUUAUAUACAUGUUUUAGGUCAUGCAUUCAGGUAUCUUGUAUGGUAAGGAAUGAACAAGCUAAGUCCAUAUUUUGUGUAUCCUCUCAACUCCCAAAAGAUUUCAGGAGCUGGGCUUAAUUAUAAGACCUCUCUAAUUU
rnacentral:misc_RNA from 1 species